rnacentral:rRNA from 1 species
UGAGGAAUAUUGGUCAAUGGAGGCAACUCUGAACCAGCCAUCCCGCGUGAAGGAUUGAAGGCGCUCGACGUCGUAAACUUCUUUUAUAUAGGAAUAACCGUAAGUACGUGUACUUACCUGAAUGUACUAUAUGAAUAAGCAUCGGCUAACUCCGUGCCAGCAGCCGCGGUAAUACGGAGGAUGCAAGCGUUAUCCGGAUUUAUUGGGUUUAAAGGGUCCGCAGGCGGACCGGUCAGUCAGUGGUGAAAUCCCAUCGCUUAACGAUGGAACUGCCAUUGAUACUGCCGGUCUUGAGUCUAGUUGACGUAGGCGGAAUAUGACAUGUAGCGGUGAAAUGCAUAGAUAUGUCA